rnacentral:rRNA from 1 species
UACGUAGGUGGCAAGCGUUAUCCGGAUUUACUGGGUGUAAAGGGAGCGUAGACGGCUUUGCAAGCCAGAUGUGAAAGCCCGGGGCUCAACCCCGGGACUGCAUUUGGAACUGUGUGGCUAGAGUGUCGGAGAGGCAGGCGGAAUUCCUAGUGUAGCGGUGAAAUGCGUAGAUAUUAGGAGGAACACCAGUGGCGAAGGCGGCCUGCUGGACGAUGACUGACGUUGAGGCUCGAAAGCGUGGGGAGCAAACAGG